GAACCUGUCAAAUUCUGAAGAUGGUGAGAAUCUUGCAGUUUUGUCAUCUGAAGUCCCAUCUGAAUCUGAGUCAGCUGAUUCAAAAGAGCUGGACCAAUCUAGUUCAGUGCAUAGUCCUGUUGGUGCCAUUGCUGAUUACCCACCCAUUUCACUUGCACCACAAUCAGAUAUUUCACACUCACCACAUGUUGACGCAUUAGUUCACGCUGACCCGCACACACGCACUACAGCUGACGGUCUUGUUAGAACGCGUGCAGGAAGAGUAGUGAAAUCAGUGAACAGACUAAUAGAAUCGAUGGUUCAGAAACCAUUUCUAAGGGGUUCAAACAUUUUGUUUGGUAGCCGGUUCUAGUCACUUGUUUUUGCAGAGAUGAGUUUUGAUAUAUAUAUAUGUGUAUUUUGGACUGUGUUAUGAGCAUUGAUACUUGCAAAUGUCUGUGAGACACAAUUUUUUUUGGGGGGGGGGCAAGUGUUGUGUGGCGUAUCAGGCGUCGCAUGGAGCUACGGGGAUUCAGAGACUUGAUCAACCUCUUUCUUCCCUGAACCUUGUAUGUGAGGUGGCUUCUAAGUUGACUGUAGACUAGGUCUUCCUUUUUUUUUUUUUUUUUUUCUCAUUUGGGCCAGAUGUGUCAGUAUCAGACGUAUUAUAUGUUCUUUGCAGUUCCGAGAUUCCAAUUAAUCAGGAUGUUGGUGAAUUUCAGGAGGGGAGAAUGUAACCAGGGUGAAAUUAUAUCUUUUCUUUUACGGUUGGAAUGUCACCAAAUCCUGAUGAACAUUGUUUUCUAUAUGUUUUAGAUGUGUUUUAUUACCAAGAUUUAUGCCUGUAUGUUGUAUUCAGACCAUAGUGUUAAUACCGGUACUGUCACUUUAAGAGGUCGCAGGCUUUGUGGCGUCAUUCGCGUGCCUUUUUCAGUCUGCGCCAGGCUAAUUGAGAGGAGGUAAUGCAUUAUCUUGCUCGUCAGUUUUAAACACUUAUUUUGGUUUUUGGACGAUGCAAACUUUGAUUUAUGCAUUUAUAAAUGUUAGUUUUGAGGUUGUGAGCAUGCAGUUCAUGUGUCAAUUGAUUUAUAAACUUUGUAAAUGGACCUUUUGCAAGCUUUAAAAUAGACGUUUCCACGUGCUAGUCUACAGGGUUUUCUGUAUGUUUAUCUGCUAACAGGAGAUUGAGAUCUGUAUGCUACGUGGAGGAGACUGCAUGUGACAGAGCCUUAUGUAUUUUUUUGUUCAUUUGUACAGACAAAUCUGCUGUUCCGUCGUCAUCAAAAGAGCAAACGGCAAUUGG